GUGGGUGAGAUCUUCCAUUCCUUUCACUUUAGUCUUGCAGUAAUAGUGAGAUUUUGGAAUUUAGUGAAUUGUAAAACUUUAUCAAUACACAAAGUAGUGGAGAAAAAAAACUAUAAAAAAUGAAAAUUAAGAUUAAUUUUUAAUUAUGUUUAAUUAAUUUUUAAAUAUUUAUUAAAAAAGUGUUUGACAUUAUUUAUUUUUCUCAUUAAUGAAAUAACAAUUCAUCAUUAAGUGAUGAUAUAAAACUUAUAUACCAUCUGUUGAAUAGUAUGAAAAUAGUUUGGAGGAGUUAAUUUGUUGAGAAAGUAGUUAAGCAGUUAAAUCAGUUACUUAAGCUCUUUGCUUAGUUUAUAAAAUCGAGUUUAUGCACAUUUUAAUGGAUGAUCUGGUUCAAUACACAAAUGAGCUUCUUUUUUCAAUUUUCUAGUUAUUGGUUCGUUUCUCUAUUUUGUUUCUGUUUUGCCUGUUAUCUCUGGUUACCGUCCUCGCAGCUAUCGCCGGAUCAUUGACAUUUCUACAUGGUAUCAGAGUUAUUGUUUUUCGGCCGGUAGAUCUAUGAUUACUCAUUUUUGUGGAUCCACCAUCAAUUCUAGUUGUUACUCAGGUUGCACCACCGCGAGUCAUCGUGUUCACCACAAUAAAGGCAAAUUUCAAUCCCAAUUUUCAUAGGCACAAGAAGUAGGAUUGCGCUUUUGCUUCUUGGUUGUUAUCCACCAUCAGUCCUCAUAUCUUGCCCAAAUUGGUUGGUGCUGAGACUUCUCAUUUCAUCUAGAGUACAUUAGUGAGCUUUUUUUCCACCAGUACAACCACCAAAGUCAUUAAUCUCUAUUGUCAGUUGCAUAUCAGGAAGAGAGUUGAUCUCUUGAUAUGUGAUUAUAUCACAAAAAUCAAAGAAGUAUAUGACACACUAGCUGCUUGUGAAAAUGGCACAACUGAAGUUGAGCAAAUUGCCAUAAUCUUGAACGGUCUACCAUCUAAGUAUGAUUCGUUUGUGGCUAUUAUAACUUAAUGUAAGGAACCUUAUAACCUUAAAAGUGUGAUUUUUGAUCUUAUGGAUGUUGGAUCAAGGCUAAGAGAUUCUUUGCGUGUUCCUUUAAGAAUCAACGAUGCUCAGUUUUUUGUGAACAAUUUUGAUCGUUCAUCAAAUAAUACUCCUUACUUGUCUGGUUCUA